AGUGCCACAUGCUCCCUGUGGAGCUGAUACUGGGUAUUUUCAGUAUUUUCCAAGAAAAUUUUGCUGAUGUGGGUCCCCCUUUGUUAUUUGCAGGGAAGUAUUUAAGGCACCAUGGCGAAAUAGAGGCAGUUCUUCAAGUGAGCCAUAUCCAAAUUGGAUGGACUGGCAUUUCUGUCUAUGGAAUACUGAUCUUAAAAUUUCUUGGUGCUUUUGGAGGGAUUUAGGUGAAACACACUUAUAUUGAGUAACUUGGGCAGCAGUGAUAGGACAAUCAAGAUCCCAGCAAGGAAAGAAAGGCAACCAAAUGCCCCUGUAAGAGGUUUUGAUGAGCAAAAGGAGAUGCUAGGACCCGAGGCAAACUUCCUCCUUUUCCUUCUCCGCUAUGAACCUCGAAAGAAGUCAAAAGAGUGACCUUGGGUUUAUAUCUCUGAUGGCAAGAACAAGAUCUGCCUGAAAGCGAGAUUAAAAAAAUUUGCACUGUAAGGACAAACAGGUUGCUCCUAUAAAAUUCUCAACAUACAACAAAUUGGGUUGUAAAGCAGGUACUGCUAAAUCGCAUCUUUUAAGUAACAGAAAGCUUAUGAAGUCACAGCACUCACACCCUUGCUUCUUUGUUAUUCUGUAUCUUUUUCUUACUGUAAAUCAUUGCCACUGAGUUUAAUAGGGCUUGCACAAUAUUGUAAGUAUCUUUUAAAUAGUCUAAUUGCUAUUUGUGUUCCCACUCAUGCUUGAAAGCUUUUUUUACUAGAGGGGAAAACUUCCAUUUUCCAAAUGACUCAUUUGCAAUGAAAACUGAAAAAAACCCCAACCCUGUUUGCAAUGAAAUUGAGUAACAGGGGAAGGCAUUUUUACGUGAUGCACAGUAUAUCAGUUGGGCAUUUUGAGUAGCUGUUUUAAGGUUCAGCACCAUAUUGCUCAUGGACACUGGGCCUGUCGAUCAUAGCCAGCCCAGUAGCUGAAGAAGGAGUGUUUCUAACCCUUGUUUUUAAAAAUAACCCUUUAUAUUGGACCUUCACAUAACCGAAGCAGCUUUUUUGCUGAGGAAAAAUGAUGCCUUGGAUAAGUGCAGGUGCAGUGGGGGCUGGUACAGCACAAGCCAUUGUGGUGCAAGCUCUCCACUCCCUGGCACAGAGGACUCCAGCCCAACACAGAGCACAUGGGGCUGCAUGUUCUUACACCCCCUUUAGCCCUUCUGCUGAGACCACCCAUGCUGCUGCCACCUGAGAGAUGAGUUUUGGGAACUCAUCUAGGAAAGCAGCAGGCACCCAGGCUUUAAUGAAGCCGGUGAAGCACCCCGGCACCAGCACCAUCAGGCAACCAACCCAGCAUUGCUGGAGACCUGACACGAGAGGGGACAGUCACUUCCGCUGCUUCCACCCAGCAUUUCACUAACCUCUAAGCACCCUCUCCCCAACAGACUAAAUGCUGUACAGUUUAUUCUGGGGGCUACUGUUUACAGAUCAGCCAAAGAUGGGAGGUUUCCCCUCUGGUGGCAGAGGAGCGAGAGAAGAGAAAGAGAUACGGACUAUUGGUCCACUUACAUCAUUGGGAAUAGUAAGUUCAUGGGAACUGGUUGGAGUAGUGGCAUCCAGUCCUAUUCAGGGGACAGAGGGAAAAUGUUACGCCAGCUGUUUGCAAGAAGGGCAAGACACAACAAAUGAAAUUUUAAAGAAGAAAACAUACAGAAGGCAGGAGAGAAAAAAAAAAGAGA